rnacentral:rRNA from 1 species
CCUGCGGGAGGUUACUAUAGGGAAUCAUCUCCAAUGGACGAUUGUCUGAUGGAUCGACGCCUCGUGAGUGAUGAAUGUUUUCGGAUCGUAAAACUCUGUUGUUAGGGGAUAAUGUGUGUGAUAGUAACUGCUCACACCUUGACGGUACCUAACCAGAAAGAACGGCUAACUACGUGCCUGGGCCGCGGUAAUACGUAGGUGGCAAGCGUUGUCCGGAAUUAUUGGGCGUAAAGCGCUCGCAGGCGGUCUUUUAAGUCUGAUGUGAAAGCCCACGGCUUAACCGUGGAGGGUCAUUGGAAACUGGAGGACUUGAGUACCUAAGACGACAGUGGAAUUCCACGUGUAGCGGCCAAAUGCUUAGAUAUGUGGAGGAACACCAGUGGCGAAGGCGACUCUCUGGUCUGUAACUGACGCUGAGGAGCAAAAGCGUGGGGAGCGAACAGGAUUAGAUACCCUGGUAGUCCACGCCGUAAACGAUGAGUGCUAGGUGUUAGGGGGUUUCCGCCCCUUAGUGCUGCAGUUAACGCAUUAAGCACUCCGCCUGGGGAGUACAGCCGCAAGGCUGAAACUCAAAAGAAUUGACGGGGACCCGCACAAGCGGUGGAGCAUGUGGUUUAAUUCGACGCAACGCGAAUAACCUUACCAGGUCUUGACAUCCUCUGACCACCCUAGAGAUAGGGCUUUCUCUUCGGGGACAGAGUGACAGGUGGUGCAUGGUUGUCGUCAGCUCGUGUCGUGAGAUGUUGGGUUAAGUCCCGCAACGAGCGCAACCCUUGAUCUUAGUUGCCAGCAUUAAGUUGGGCACUCUAAGGUGACUGCCGGUGACAAACCGGAGGAAGGUGGGGAUGACGUCAAAUCAUCAUGCCCCUUAUGACCUGGGCUACACACGUGCUACAUGGAUGGAAAAAGGGAAGCUAAAUCGCGAGGUCAAGCAAAUCCCAUAAAACCAUUCUCAGUUCCGAUGCAGCUGCAACUCGCCUGCAUGAGUCGGGAAUCGCUAGUCAUCGCGAUCAGCAUGCGCGAUGAUACGUUCCUGGG